rnacentral:rRNA from 1 species
AGUCUUUUGCAUUUUUAUAAAAGAUGUUUUUUGCUCAGUGUUUUUAAAUAGCCGCGGUAAUUUGACCGUGCAAAGGUAGCAUAAUCAUUUGCUCUAUAAUUGAGGGCUGGAAUGAAUGGAAGAACAAGGUGUCUGCUUUAUUUUAAAGAAAAAAAAAAUUUUCUUUUUUAGUGAAGAAGCUAAAAUUAAAUUGGGGGACAAGAAGACCCUUUUGAGCUUUAUUAGCAGUAUUUUUUUUUGGUUUUGUUAAUUUGGUUGGGGCGACCAAGGAAGAAAAAAUCUUCCUUUACAACUUUGACCCGGGGGUCCCGAGUGAUGAAAUAAGCUACCAAAGGGAUAACAGCGUAAUUUUUUUCGUGAGUUCUUAUCAAAAGGAGAGAUUGCGACCUCGAUGUUGACUUAUGGUUUCCUUUUGGUGCAGCCGCUAAUAGGGUGGGUCUGUUCGACCUUUAAAACCUU